ACUGAACGCUGGCGGCAGGCCUAUACAUGCAAGUCGAGCGGGGUUUUCGGACCUAGCGGCGGACGGGUGAGUAAUGCGUAGGAAGCUGCCCGAUAGAGGGGGAUACCAGUUGGAAACGACUGUUAAUACCGCAUAAUGUCUACGGACCAAAGUGUGGGACCUUCGGGCCACAUGCUAUCGGAUGCGCCUACGUGGGAUUAGCUAGUUGGUGAGGUAAUGGCUCACCAAGGCGACGAUCUCUAGCUGGUUUGAGAGGAUGAUCAGCCACACUGGAACUGAGACACGGUCCAGACUCCUACGGGAGGCAGCAGUGGGGAAUAUUGGACAAUGGGCGCAAGCCUGAUUCAGCCAUGCCGCGUGUGUGAAGAAGGCCUUCGGGUUGUAAAGCACUUUCAGCGAGGAGGAAGGGGUGUGUGUUAAUAGUACACACCUUUGACGUUACUCGCAGAAGAAGCACCGGCUAACUCUGUGCCAGCCGCCGCGGUAACAC
rnacentral:rRNA from 1 species